rnacentral:rRNA from 1 species
UUAAGCGACUAAGCGUACACGGUGGAUGCCCUGGCAGUCAGAGGCGAUGAAGGACGUGCUAAUCUGCGAUAAGCGUCGGUGAGGUGAUAUGAACCGUUAUAACCGGCGAUUUCCGAAUGGGGAAACCCAGUGUGAUUCGUCACACUAUCAUUAACUGAAUCCAUAGGUUAAUGAGGCGAACCGGGGGAACUGAAACAUCUAAGUACCCCGAGGAAAAGAAAUCAACCGAGAUUCCCCCAGUAGCGGCGAGCGAACGGGGAGGAGCCCAGAGCCUGAAUCAGUGUGUGUGUUAGUGGAAGCGUCUGGAAAGGCGCGCGAUACAGGGUGACAGCCCCGUACACAAAAAUGCACAUACUGUGAGCUCGAUGAGUAGGGCGGGACACGUGGUAUCCUGUCUGAAUAUGGGGGGACCAUCCUCCAAGGCUAAAUACUCCUGACUGACCGAUAGUGAACCAGUACCGUGAGGGAAAGGCGAAAAGAACCCCGGCGAGGGGAGUGAAAAAGAACCUGAAACCGUGUACGUACAAGCAGUGGGAGCCUCUUAAUGGGGUGACUGCGUACCUUUUGUAUAAUGGGUCAGCGACUUAUAUUCUGUAGCAAGGUUAACCGAAUAGGGGAGCCGAAGGGAAACCGAGUCUUAACUGGGCGUUAAGUUGCAGGGUAUAGACCCGAAACCCGGUGAUCUAGCCAUGGGCAGGUUGAAGGUUGGGUAACACUAACUGGAGGACCGAACCGACUAAUGUUGAAAAAUUAGCGGAUGACUUGUGGCUGGGGGUGAAAGGCCAAUCAAACCGGGAGAUAGCUGGUUCUCCCCGAAAGCUAUUUAGGUAGCGCCUCGUGAAUUCAUCUCCGGGGGUAGAGCACUGUUUCGGCAAGGGGGUCAUCCCGACUUACCAACCCGAUGCAAACUGCGAAUACCGGAGAAUGUUAUCACGGGAGACACACGGCGGGUGCUAACGUCCGUCGUGAAGAGGGAAACAACCCAGACCGCCAGCUAAGGUCCCAAAGUCAUGGUUAAGUGGGAAACGAUGUGGGAAGGCCCAGACAGCCAGGAUGUUGGCUUAGAAGCAGCCAUCAUUUAAAGAAAGCGUAAUAGCUCACUGGUCGAGUCGGCCUGCGCGGAAGAUGUAACGGGGCUAAACCAUGCACCGAAGCUGCGGCAGCGACACUAUGUGUUGUUGGGUAGGGGAGCGUUCUGUAAGCCUGUGAAGGUGGCCUGUGAGGGUUGCUGGAGGUAUCAGAAGUGCGAAUGCUGACAUAAGUAACGAUAAAGCGGGUGAAAAGCCCGCUCGCCGGAAGACCAAGGGUUCCUGUCCAACGUUAAUCGGGGCAGGGUGAGUCGACCCCUAAGGCGAGGCCGAAAGGCGUAGUCGAUGGGAAACAGGUUAAUAUUCCUGUACUUGGUGUUACUGCGAAGGGGGGACGGAGAAGGCUAUGUUGGCCGGGCGACGGUUGUCCCGGUUUAAGCGUGUAGGCUGGUUUUCCAGGCAAAUCCGGAAAACCAAGGCUGAGGCGUGAUGACGAGGCACUACGGUGCUGAAGCGACAAAUGCCCUGCUUCCAGGAAAAGCCUCUAAGCUUCAGGUAACAUCAAAUCGUACCCCAAACCGACACAGGUGGUCAGGUAGAGAAUACCAAGGCGCUUGAGAGAACUCGGGUGAAGGAACUAGGCAAAAUGGUGCCGUAACUUCGGGAGAAGGCACGCUGAUAUGUAGGUGAAGCGACUUGCUCGUGGAGCUGAAAUCAGUCGAAGAUACCAGCUGGCUGCAACUGUUUAUUAAAAACACAGCACUGUGCAAACACGAAAGUGGACGUAUACGGUGUGACGCCUGCCCGGUGCCGGAAGGUUAAUUGAUGGGGUUAGCGGUAACGCGAAGCUCUUGAUCGAAGCCCCGGUAAACGGCGGCCGUAACUAUAACGGUCCUAAGGUAGCGAAAUUCCUUGUCAGGUAAGUUCUGACCCGCACGAAAGGCGUAACGAUUUGGGCGCUGUCUCAGCUGUAGACUCGGUGAAGUCUUAGUACCUGUGAAGAUGCAGGUUACCCGCGACUAGACGGAAAGACCCCAUGGAGCUUUACUGUAGCCUGAUAUUGAAUUUUGAUCAAAGAUGUACAGGAUAGGUGGGAGGCGAAGAGACGUGUACGCCAGUAUACGAGGAGCCGCUGUUGGGAUACCACUCUUGUUUGAUUGAAGUUCUAACCUGCACCCAUGAACUGGGUGAGGGACCGUGUCAGGUGGGCAGUUUGACUGGGGCGGUCGCCUCCUAAAGAGUAACGGAGGCGCCCAAAGGUACGCUCAGAUUGGAUGGAAAUCAAUCGACGAGUGCAAAUGCAGAAGCGUGCUUGACUGUGAGACAAACAAGUCGAACAGGGACGAAAGUCGGGAUUAGUGAUCCGGCGGUGCCGAAUGGAAGGGCCGUCGCUCAACGGAUAAAAGCUACCCUGGGGAUAACAGGCUGAUCUCCCCCAAGAGUUCACAUCGACGGGGAGGUUUGGCACCUCGAUGUCGGCUCAUCGCAUCCUGGGGCUGUAGUAGGUCCCAAG